rnacentral:rRNA from 1 species
GAUUUCUGGCGAAACUGCUAGCUGGCCCGCCACGCAAGUGUGUGAGUGCCGGCUUGGCGUUUGCCAUCCGUUCGAAUGAUAUGCGCGCUGCCCUUCACUGGGUUGGCGCUGCAUGUUUUCGAUCUUUUACUUUGAAAAAAUUAGAGUGUUUCAAGCAGGCAUGUUUUGCUAUGAAUACAUUAGCAUGGAAUAAUAAUUUAGGACUUUGGUCUUAUUUUGUUGGUUUCUAGGACUAAAGUAAUGAUUGAUAGGGAUAGUUGGGGGUGCUAGUAUUCAGCGGCCAGAGGUGAAAUUCUUGGAUUCGCUGAAGACUAACUUAUGCGAAAGCAUU